rnacentral:lncRNA from 1 species
AUGGAGACAGACCUUGCAGAUCUGUCCUGCUGCAGCCUUUCCUGAAGAUCUGUUGAUGGAGAUCUCACCCGCACCUCAAACGACCUCAGAUCAACUCCAGAUCUGAGAGGAACUUGUAUCAACUUCUUCUCAAAAGAUUUCAGGUCCUGGACCUGAUGCUUGGGCAGCUGCAAGAGAGGGAGAGAAGAAAAUGGCUGGCGGCUGCA